rnacentral:rRNA from 1 species
UACGUAGGGGCCCAGCGUUGUCCGGAAUCAUUGGGCGUAAAGCGCGCGUAGGCGGCCAGCCAAGUCCGGUGUGAAAGUCACAGGCUCAACCUGUGAAUGCCGCUGGAAACUGUCUGGCUAGAGUCCGGAAGGGGCGAGUGGAAUUCCUGGUGUAGCGGUGAAAUGCGCAGAUAUCAGGAGGAACACCUAGGGCGAAGGCAGCUCGCUGGGACGGUACUGACGCUGAGGCGCGAAAGCGUGGGGAGCGAACAGG